AGCCAGAUAGCGCAGUGGAAUGGUCGGUCAGUACCUACUGCUUCUCAUGCAGUACGUCUGACCAGGGCCUGGGUUCAACUCCCGGGUCAGGCUG